ensembl:lncRNA
CUUUUUUUAAAUAAAAAUAGAACAAGUCAAAAGAAUAGAAAAAUAAUAUAAAAUGUUAGUGCUAGACUGUCGUAUUUUUAUAAUAAAUAAAAAGAAAACAAGAUAGAGUAGAAAAAGAAUAGAGAAUAUUAGUAUUAGAGGCUCUUUUUUAUAAAGAAAACAAGUAGUACGAGUAGGAAAAGAAUAGAGAGUGCAAGUGUUAGAGGGUCAAGUGUUUUUUUUUUUUUUUCUUAGAAUUAGAAUAGAGAGUGCUAGAGUUAAGAGGGUCAAAUGAAGAUGGAAGAGAUGUGAUUUUAGCAAUUUCUUAAAGAUGGCUAAGUACUAAGGUCAUUUCAUCAGGAGGGAACAGUUAAUGGUAGUUAAAGUCAGUGAAAGUCAUUUUGUUCCUCUCUGGAAUGGCACUAUAAUGCAUAAUGCAAGCUUCUAGAGGGCACAUAAUUCUGAAGUAGUGAAUUUAGAUAAAGGGGUGCAGAGCCAGUGGUGGUUUUGUAGACAACCAUCAAUGCCUUGAAUUUUAUGCGAGCAGCUAUUGGUAGCCAGUGCAAAUUGAUGGACAGAGGUGUGACGUGUUGUUUUUGGCCAGUUAAAAGACCAAUUUUGCAGCCGCAUUCUGGAUUAGUUGUAGACACUGAGUUACAUUUUAUAAACGCUUAUACGUAGCCAGCAAAUUGGAAUAAUAAUGUCUGGUUAAAUGACACAGAUAUUUGAACGUAACUCUAACAGUUUUCUAAAAGUCAUAGUAACACAACAGUGCAUGGUAUAUAUUUAACAUUCAAAAUAAAUGGUAUGUAUGCAGUGGGAGCGUGCAUUUGCAACGUGUUGGCCAAACAUUAACAUCAGUGCUUGCAUACUUGCUCAGAAUGUUUUUGUCUAACACAUUGUGUUACAAACAGUUCUUUUCCAUUCCAUUGCACUCUGUCUGGCUGCUUUCGAACAGUAGUUUGCAUCUUGUGUGAAUGGUCCCUAAGAGAACAGUCUGUAAAUCCAAACCCCCUCCCACUUGUUUGCCCUCUUUAGUUUCAGUACUUUCCAGUUUGGAACAAACAUCAAUGGGGUGCUAUUUCUGAUGCCUUUUUCAACAGCAAUCACAAGUUAAAAGUGUUUGAUUUUUUGCUGAGGUUAACUUAUUUCUCAGUUGGUAUAACAAUAUAUAUUUAUAAAGUACAGGAGUAGAAGUCCUAAGUGUAUGCCCGUGUAGAGGAUGUAGGUGUCUAAUAGAUUAUGUCGACUUGAUAUCUUUCUUUACAAAUGAGUGUUUGUGUGAGUUGUGCUAUGUAUGUUCGUAGAUAUGAUAACCUCAGCCUGCUUUUAGUCUCUCUCAAAUCACUGUGAAAAUUCAGGAUACUACACCUAGACUAUUUCACCGUAGACUAGAAUAGAUAUUGUAGUUAGCAACAACCAUAGACAUCUCAAGGCAUGGAUAGCAAUAUCUAAAUAGUGCUACUGAUUUCAUGCACACCGUAAUAGAUGUCACAACCCCACCUACAGUGAGUAUCAAAACAGUUCCAAGAAAUAGAAGAUCAAAACUAUGAUGGACACAGUGGUGUAAAUUCAACAGAUAGCAGUGGCUUGUGCCUGUAACAGAGACUGGCACGAUUAACCAGGCUAACAUGACCAUCAUAAUUACUCACUGUGUGACCUAUACUGCAGCCUACCCCUGUGUACUGGAGCAGAUGUAAGGAGGAACACACUCUUGCACACAAUGCAAAUUUAUUUAUAGCCCGUGGACCCUUCAUAUUUAAUCAGGUCUCGGACCCAAUGUGGACUAGGAGCACAUGAAAAUGUAAAAAAAGGUGAAGAGCACCACAGUCGUGGAAAGCACAAUGACUCACUCCAGGAUUCCUCUUUUCACUUGUAAAUCACCCAUUUCUUCUGAAUGUGUGAACCCUGGUACAUGUACUGUGACAAAAUCCCUCUAUUGGUGUCUAAUAUGGGAAAGAAAACAAAACUGUACAUGCUUACAAACACAAAUGUUUUCUUUUUAAUUUAUUGUAAUUAUUACUUUUGAGAACUGCUGGACUCAUCUCAGCUAAGCCCUCCCCUCACUCUUUAAAGGAAGGCUGGAUGUGAGGCGAGAGGGAGGGAGGUUGUGGUGGGGGGGAGCUAUUGCUUUGGACAAGCUAUUUUAAAUUGUGGUUGAAG